UACGUAGGGCGCAAGCGUUGUCCGGAAUUAUUGGGCGUAAAGAGCUCGUAGGCGGUCUGUCGCGUCUGCCGUGAAAACCCGAGGCUCAACCUCGGACUUGCAGUGGGUACGGGCAGACUAGAGUGUGGUAGGGGAGACUGGAAUUCCUGGUGUAGCGGUGGAAUGCGCAGAUAUCAGGAGGAACACCGAUGGCGAAGGCAGGUCUCUGGGCCAUUACUGACACUGAGAAGCGAAAGCAUGGGGAGCGAACAGG
rnacentral:rRNA from 1 species